rnacentral:rRNA from 1 species
CCUAACACAUGCAAGUCGAACGGAUCCUUCGGGAUUAGUGGCGGACGGGUGAGUAACACGUGGGAACGUGCCCUUUGGUUCGGAACAACCCAGGGAAACUUGAGCUAAUACCGGAUGUGCCCUUCGGGGGAAAGAUUUAUCGCCAUUGGAGCGGCCCGCGUCGGAUUACCUAGUUGGUGGGGUAAAGGCCCACCAAGGCGACGAUCCGUAACUGGUCUGAGAGGAUGAUCAGCCACAUUGGGACUGAAACACGGCCCAAACUCCUACGGGAGGCAGCAGUGGGGAAUCUUGCGCAAUGGGCGAAAGCCUGACGCAUCCAUGCCGCGUGAAUGAUGAAGGUCUUAGGAUUGUAAAAUUCUUUCACCGGGGACGAUAAUGACGGUACCCGGAGAAGAAGCCCCGGCUAACUUCGUGCCAGCAGCCGCGGUAAUACGAAGGGGGCUAGCGUUGCUCGGAAUUACUGGGCGUAAAGGGAGCGUAAGCGGACUGUUUAGUCAGAGGUGAAAGCCCAGGGGUCAACCUUGGAAUUGCCUUUGAUACUGGCAGUCUUGAGUACGGAAGAGGUAUGUGGAACUCCGAGUGUAGAGGUGAAAUUCGUAGAUAUUCGGAAGAACACCAGUGGCGAAGGCGACAUACUGGUCCGUUACUGACGCUGAGGCUCGAAAGCGUGGGGAGCAAACAGGAUUAGAUACCCUGGUAGUCCACGCCGUAAACGAUGAGUGCUAGUUGUCGGCAUGCAUGCAUGUCGGUGACGCAGCUAACGCAUUAAGCACUUCGCCUGGGGAGUACGGUCGCAAGAUUAAAACUCAAAGGAAUUGACGGGGGCCCGCACAAGCGGUG